rnacentral:rRNA from 1 species
AAAAACGUCCCUGCUCCUUGCACACGGGUUUUAGUCAGGCAACGAGCGAGAUCCGCGUCCGUAAUUGCCAGCAGCACCCUUGUGGUGGCUGGGUACAUUACGGAGACUGCCGCUGCUAAAGCGGAGGAAGGAACGGGCAACGGUAGGUCAGCAUGCCCCGAAUGUGCUGGGCUACACGCGGGCUACAAUGGUCAAGACAAUGGGUUCCAACCCCGAAAGGGGACGGUAAUCUCCUAAACUCGAUCGUAGUUCGGAUUGAGGGCUGAAACUCGCCCUCA